GUAGAUACACAGAGGAAUACCAAAAGCGAAGGCAGCGUACUGGGAAGUCACUGACGCUCAGGGACGAAAGCGUGGGUAGCGAACGGGAUUAGAUACCCCGGUAGUCCACGCCGUAAACGAUGGAUACUAGUUGUUGGAGGACUCGACCCCUCCAGUGACGUCGCUAACGCAUUAAGUAUCCCGCCUGGGGAGUACGGUCGCAAGAUUAAAACUCAAAGGAAUAGACGGGGACCCACACAAGCGGUGGAGCAUGUGGUUUAAUUCGACGAUAAGCGAGGAACCUUACCUGGACUUGACAUCCCGAGAAUUUCCCUGAAAAGGGAAAGUGCCGCAAGGAACUCGGUGACAGGUGCUGCAUGGUUGUCGUCAGCUCGUGCCUUGAGGUGUUCGGUUAAGUCCGUGAACGAGCGCAACCCUUGUCCUGUGUUGUAUUUUCACAGGAGACUGCCGGCUUUAAGUCGGAGGAAGGUAAGGAUGACGUCAAAUCAGCAUGGCCCUUAUGUCCAGGGCUACACACGUGCUACAAUGGCAGGUACAAUAGGCAGCAAACCCGCGAGGGGGAGCCAAUCCUCAAAAACCUGUCCUAAGUUCGAAUUGAUGGCUGCAACUCGCCAUCAUGAAGUUGGAAUCGCUAGUAACCGCGUAUCAGCAAUGACGCGGUGAAUAUGUUCCUGGGUCUUGUACUCACCGCCCGUCACGUCAUGAAAGGUGGAGGCACCCGAAGUACCGUUAUCAUUUAUGAGCGGUCCUAAGGU
rnacentral:rRNA from 1 species